UGGAAAGGCAGGCUUCGGCCUGCCUUUCCUGUUGCCCGAGACAGGACUUCCAACGUGCGGGGGGCAACGGAAGUCCAUCUCGUCGUCUCAACCGGGAUUGAUCACGAUUGGUUCCACUCUGUCAAUCGUAGUUAUCUAAAAUAGUGAUUGCCCCACAGCAACGUGGCUGGACGGUAAAUUUUCCAUAAA
rnacentral:ncRNA from 2 species